AAGAAAUGGGAAGACAAGAUGUGUGCACUAGUAUUUGAGUCCUUUCAUGGCAGUUACAUGGGAGAGUCAAAAGUAGAACUUGCCAACCACCAGAAGCCAGAUAAGCCCCACAAAACACCAAGAGAGGAAUCGGAUUAAUCAGUGAAAAGCAUUGCCGGAGAAGAGGAGGGACACACUGACUGAGGAGUUUGGGAGAAAGAACCAGGCCUACAAGUCAGCUCCAGCUCUGCUCUGCCCCUGACCUGAAUGCAAGAUGCCUGCACCUGGCCGCUCUCAGUAGCCUGAGGAAGGUCUGCGGUUGUCCAGCUAUGCAGUGACUGAGGACCAUUGGUCAGGAUCCCAUGUUACCCUCCCCCCAGCCUUCCAGAUGAUGCUUCAGAUUGAUCCUGGCUCUCAGCAUCCACCUUGACCCAGGCUUUGAUUCUACUUAUCAGUGCCCGACUUCACCAGCAAUUCCCAAGCCCUGCCUACACUUACCAAGACAUCAGCCUGGGAUCUAGAGGUAUCAUGCUCAGUUCCACCCACACGUAAUUUGCAUUGGUAUUUCUCUCCCCACAUGCCUUUUGCUAUUUUAGCUUCUCUCAGAUAUAAAGUCUUUGUUCUAAAAGUCCUCACGUCCUGAAUUACUUCCUUGCCCUCUUUACAGGAUCAAAACCAGCUGUUGGAGCUGGUCAUUCCUUUCACUAACAAUCGGGUCUGGCUUUUAAGUUAGAGCUCAUUAAUGUCUGGCCUUAUCUUUAUUUUUUGAAGCAUAAUCCCAGGGCAGAUGGCAAAGAGAAUGGAGAAGGGGUAGAAGACAGAAGGAAGAGGUUAGAACGGAAAGAAAAUAUCCUCCUUUGAAGCUUUCCAUAAUGCUGUCUUUAUCAUUAUAAAGAUGCAAAAGAGGAGGAGGAGGAAAAAGAGGAAAGGGGGAAAUAGAAAGAUUUUAUCAGAAGAGGAAGAAUAAAGGCCUGGUAAAUGCUUCUUGGAA